UGGCAGUCCUAUCCAACAGAGACUACUCAAUGCUUAGUGCAAUGCCUGACACUCCACAGAAGGUACUCAUUUUAUAUUUCUUAAAUGUUAAAUGAAUUCAAGGCAUGUUUCUUGCGAGUGAGUCUCCCUGAGUCUCUCUUAGUAGAUGGGAAUGGGAGUCCACCUGGUAGAUGUUGACAUUUCUGGGAGAUUCUACAGGAUAGAAAAUAAGAAAGGGAUUGGACAUAGGAGAGGCGGGGAGGACUCACCAAUUUUAAAGUCAGCGUCUUUGACCUAUAUUUGA
rnacentral:lncRNA from 1 species